GACGAACGCUGGCGGCGUGCUUAACACAUGCAAGUCGAACGGAAAGGCCCUGCUUUUGUGGGGUGCUCGAGUGGCGAACGGGUGAGUAACACGUGAGUAACCUGCCCUUGACUUUGGGAUAACUUCAGGAAACUGGGGCUAAUACUGGAUAGGAGCUCCUGCUGCAUGGCGGGGGUUGGAAAGUUUCGGCGGUUGGGGAUGGACUCGCGGCUUAUCAGCUUGUUGGUGGGGUAGUGGCUUACCAAGGCUUUGACGGGUAGCCGGCCUGAGAGGGUGACCGGCCACAUUGGGACUGAGAUACGGCCCAGACUCCUACGGGAGGCAGCAGUGGGGAAUAUUGCACAAUGGGCGGAAGCCUGAUGCAGCAACGCCGCGUGCGGGAUGACGGCCUUCGGGUUGUAAACCGCUUUCGCCUGUGACGAAGCGUGAGUGACGGUAAUGGGUAAAGAAGCACCGGCUAACUACGUGCCAGCAGCCGCGGUGAUACGUAGGGUGCGAGCGUUGUCCGGAUUUAUUGGGCGUAAAGGGCUCGUAGGUGGUUGAUCGCGUCGGAAGUGUAAUCUUGGGGCUUAACCCUGAGCGUGCUUUCGAUACGGGUUGACUUGAGGAAGGUAGGGGAGAAUGGAAUUCCUGGUGGAGCGGUGGAAUGCGCAGAUAUCAGGAGGAACACCAGUGGCGAAGGCGGUUCUCUGGGCCUUUCCUGACGCUGAGGAGCGAAAGCGUGGGGAGCGAACAGGCUUAGAUACCCUGGUAGUCCACGCUGUAAACGGUGGGUACUAGGUGUGGGGUCCAUUCCACGGGUUCCGUGCCGUAGCUAACGCUUUAAGUACCCCGCCUGGGGAGUACGGCCGCAAGGCUAAAACUCAAAGGAAUUGACGGGGCCCCGCACAAGCGGCGGAGCAUGCGGAUUAAUUCGAUGCAACGCGUAGAACCUUACCUGGGUUUGACAUGGAUCGGGAGCGCUCAGAGAUGGGUGUGCCUCUUUUGGGGUCGGUUCACAGGUGGUGCAUGGCUGUCGUCAGCUCGUGUCGUGAGAUGUUGGGUUAAGUCCCGCAACGAGCGCAACCCUUGUUCACUGUUGCCAGCACGUUAUGGUGGGGACUCAGUGGAGACCGCCGGGGUCAACUCGGAGGAAGGUGGGGAUGACGUCAAGUCAUCAUGCCCCUUAUGUCCAGGGCUUCACGCAUGCUACAAUGGCUGGUACAGAGAGUGGCGAGCCUGUGAGGGUGAGCGAAUCUCGGAAAGCCGGUCUCAGUUCGGAUUGGGGUCUGCAACUCGACCUCAUGAAGUCGGAGUCGCUAGUAAUCGCAGAUCAGCAACGCUGCGGUGAAUACGUUCCCGGGGCU
rnacentral:rRNA from 1 species